rnacentral:lncRNA from 1 species
GGGACCAUACAACCUAUUCUCACCAACCUCAAACCACUCAGCAGGACACCUAUACCUUCUACCAUACAAAGCCUCGAAAGGAGAUAUCCCAAUACUUGAGCAAUAACUAUUAUUAUAUGUAAACUUGAUGAGAGGUAGAUAAUCAACCUAGCUACCACUGAAGUCAGUCACACAAGCCUAAAGCACAUCCUCCAACAUCUGAAUGGUCUUAUCCACCUGUUC